rnacentral:sRNA from 1 species
UACUUCUAAAUGGCUGUGGCCAGGUC